CACCCCCCCACCUCCCUUACCAAACUGCCCUGCCUGCAACCCUGUUCCAGUCAUACUGCAGCUCUGGGUCUGCCGUAUGCGAUCCGGCUCGCUCAGUGUUAACUCCUGAACCUCGAACCCCGAACCCACUGAAACUCACUGUGACGUGACCCGUGGACCCGAUGCCUUAGCCGUAGCCAGAUCCGCCGCCUUCGGCAGCCCGAACCCCGCUUCCUCUCCGUCUCCCGGCCGAAGCUCUUCCGCAGGCGCCUGGUUCCGUCCCGACACCUCCGAUCCAUCCUCUUCCUCCUCCUCUUCCUCCUCAACGUCACCGUGUAGGAGCGGAAGCCGCACGUUCGCCUGCGUCUGCGGAAGUCCCUCACGAGCCUCAAACCCCUCACUUACCCUCCGUUGUCAUAGCGACAACCCCCCCCCCUCCUUCCUUUUACAGAAAAGCAAACCAAAAAUAGCACUAUGUUAAUCAAAUUGUAUACUUAUGUAAAAUACUAGCGCGUCGUCGUGUAGAGAUCUUAGACUAGCGGACUUUUUGGACUACGCCCGGGCGGGUUUCCUCUGGGACUAAGAGAGAGAGAGAGAUUGGCCUGGCCACGGGGACUUGCUUCCACAGACGGCCCGCCGCGGCCAACGUCGCCGCCCCCUCCGACGGGAAUCGACUCGGGACGGACAGAAUCUUUUUUUUUCGGAAAUUCCACAUUUGAAUGUAGACUGCUCCGUUUAUUUCCCUUUACUGGCGGCGCGUUGCUUUACCGUGGUUCCAAAGUUUACAACCGAAUCGAGCUCGGGCGCGCGAGCGUGUGACUCUCAGAAUGCGGCAGGGCGGUAGUCCCAGACCUUCGUAUCCAGGUAGCAUGUGGCCCCCAAAUUAAGGGACAUGAGUAUUCAUCCCCUGAGAGAGGAAAUGACCCGCAACUCGGCUUGGAUUUGUCCUUCCUCCCUCACACGUACGCGCAAACAUGAAUGUGUACAGUGAGACGCACACACACACACUCACACACACACGCGCACACACACACACGGGCGCACUCGCAUUUACAGCUACAGUACACGCCUGUACUCAGAGACACGCGUGUUCCCUGGAUCACAGACACGCAGGUACACGUGUUCCCUGGAUCACAGACACGCAGGUACACGUGUUCCCUGGAUCACAGACACGCAGAAACACGUGUUCUCUGGUUCACAGACACACAGGUACACAUGUUCCCUGACUCACAGACACGCAGAAACACAUGUUCUCUGGCUCACAGACAUGCAGAAACACGUGUUCCUUGGCUCACAGACAAGCAGAAACACAUGUUCUCUGGCUCACAGACACACAGGUACAUGUGUUCUCUGGCUCACAGACACGCAGGUACACAUGUUCCCUGACUCACAGACACGCAGGUACACAUGUUCUCUGGCUCACAGACACACAGGUACACAUGUUCCCUGACUCACAGACACGCAGGUACACAUGUUCUCUGGCUCAGACAGACACGCAGAUGUAUACGUGCAACAGUAGCAGUGGGCGGGGCCAGGGAGUACAUGCUUUGCAUAUCAGGUUCGUCUACUCUCACUUCCCUCCAUUAACCACAACACACGCACACACACACACAAUGUAAUACAUGCAGAUGACAUCACAUCACAGGAAAACCCAAACAGAUAUGCCCUGUAUACUAGCAGCACUAUGAGUUGACUGGAAUCUUACAAAUCUGAAGUAUGGUGGAAUCUGGCACCUUCUACCUGCAUUAGAAACUUGCUUCGUGUGGAGGAUUUAAGGACGUUACUCCAGCCAGUGGACUACCCCUGUGCCGCCUCCUUCACGCUCAUCUUUGUAAACCACACGAUGCACGUCUGGAACAACCGCGGUAAAAACAUAACCGUACCAUUUGGCGGUAAGGGUAGGGUGACCGGAUGUCCUGUUUUUCCCAAGACAGCCCUAUAUUUCAGCUCCUCCGAUUUAUUCUGAGAAAAUCUCAAUUUGUUACGUAUUUCAGUCCGUAUGUAUUUUUAAAAUUAAAAUUAAAAUGGCUGUAGGUUCUCAUUAGCCUUACACGGUACUCCAGGGAAUUUGGUCACCCUACCAAAGUUCUCUCAGGGUUUCUCGUUCAGAAAAGACAUUUUCACGGCGGCAGUGUCAAAAAAAAAAAAGAGCAGACCCAGAGAUCGAUGUUGGAGGGAAAAUACUCCAUGCAAACGACAUGUUGAAUUCAAAUUAAGUUGGAGGCUACCGCAAAUGUCACUGUCACACCCUGACAGUGGCAUUGUGUCAUUAAUGUGUGCUUGGAGGCCAAGUAGCUCAGUACAGUAGCACUUAGAGGAGGAGCCAGUCUCCUUGUUGUCUUGAUCCUGCCGAACAACAGAGAAAUGGGCGGAGCUCCAGACUCUCUGAAUCCCCACAGGUUACCUGGAACAGGUUGCGCCGUUGAUUGACAGCUUUGGGCUGAGGCCAAACGGAGCCAUUGAAAAGCAGACAGCCAGGGCUUCCUCUUCUCAAUGCACACGACACAAUGUGUUCUCCGUUCCGGUUGGUCUGAAAUGGUCACGUGAUGCACGGAGGCCAAUCGUCGUCAAGUGCCCUUUGCGUGAAGACAAAGGCCAUUCCUAGUCAAGGGCGGAAGUAGCCAAAGGUGUGAAACACGUCUGUGUGUCUGUCUGAGCUUUUCUGAGAAGCUCAGCAAGGGCGCCACCACCAGGACCAGAUAGGUUACUACACAAAAAUAAUGUAAAUUAAACACAGUCAGGUUGCACACAUUGGCACUAGUUGUUUUUUUUUUUAAAGACUUAGCCACACUGAUAAACUGCUAACAUCCAUUUCCAUUUGUGUUGUGAGGCUUCUGCGUUCUGGCUUUUGGUUCGCGUUCGUGAAGAACGACGCCUGGAAUUUGCGUCUCCUGCCGAACGCGGGGAACAAGCACUGGCCCGCGAGCGCAUUUCCGCGGCGGCGCUCCGAUCCCAGCGGCGUCGUUAAGGGAGUGCACGGGGCGUUAUUGGCGAGGCUUCAGCGCGCAUCAGAUCGCUGAGUGCUGUCCCGUUUGCAUUUUUCAUUGAUAUUGACAGCCAAGUGAAUACGGCCAAUCCAACCAAUUAGGAAAGCCAUUAGUUACGCGGCGCGGCAGCGAGCCAAUCAAUUUUCUGCUGACCCGCGGCGCCGCCGAAGGCCUCGCGCAGCCCGCGCUUUUAAUGGAAGCCGGGUGACAACACACAGGCGGCCAAUCAGAUUCCUUGUCAGAAACGCAGGGCUUUUUAUUUUUUUUUUUUACAUGAGUUAUUAGCAGUCUUGCGUCAAACAAACAUCCUGUUCAAGUGUCUGAAUAAAAAAAACACACACCCGAUGCAUAAAUGCCAGCCGACUUAAACAUUUAUCGUUCCGAAUGAAGAUUCGCGUCCAUUAUUUUCCUUAUUGUUGUUUUUCUGUUAUGAAUAGUAUUAUGUUUUUAAAAAAAAUCAGUGUUCUAAAGGACCGGGUUUGUAGCACUUAAGCGCGAGCGUGUACGGUCCUGAGAUUCACUUCACGUCUCUUAACACGUUUUCCUUUGCUCUGUUUUCAUUUGUUCAUGUGCGUAUUACUCAAGUCGUUGGAAUGUGCGGUGGAAUAUUGCAGACUGCAGCCCGUAUUGUAGGGCUUUGCUUUCAUGUCAUGUGCCUGUGUCAUGUUAGGGUCAAACUGCCAUACUGCUGGUCCCCUGCAUAACAUGACCCAUCGCAGCUGUGUCCCGACCCUUCCAUGCCCUGCCCAUGCCCCUCCCAUGCACCCACUCACGCCCAGCCCACACUCCCAGCACCGAGGAGAGCUCAAUUUGUUCGUUUUUUUUGGUCUUACAUACCAAAGAGCCUGAGCUGUGAUUGUUUUGGCCGUCCUGAUCAGUACAUUCCCAAGCAUGUCCUCCACGAAAAGGAGCACGUCUCUCGAGGUCAGGCCCGCACACCCCGCUCGCCGAUCUUUUCUAGAAGAUUCCAUUUGGUCAAGCGUUUGCGGCCUUUGACCUGCGGGACAUCUGUUCGCAUUCCCCAUAUAGUUUUCACACCUCUGAGGGGACUGGAAACUGCUGCGGAAGGGAUGGCUCUCUUUUUAUUAAGUCAUAUUUACAGGCCUAAAUAAUGGGAGAGAGUAACAGCAGCGGGUUAACUUUUGUGCCUAGUUAGCGGGCCGGUCUUUUCGUAAAGAGGUCCGGGGAAUUUCAACAGGCCCAGUGUAAUCGUAUUGUACAGGUCCUGUGUGAUUGAAGUGUACUCGCCUGGUGGACUUUGACGGUGGAGCUUUGAACUGCAGGCUGAGGGAAGACUAUCACUGUGGCUCUCCAAGGUGCUGAUCUGGAAAUCUCAUCUCUGGGAAGCAACCUUAAAGAGUGAAUAGUCCGAAUGUCCUCUGUACCAACUAAUAAUGUACACUGUAUUAUGUAAAUGUGAAUUUAUUAGACUUUUGCAGCAGAUACACAAUCGAAUAUAAAAGUGAACAAAUGAAUCGACUAGUGAAAAUAAUAAACCAAACUAUACUCACCUGCAAGCCAAA